AUAGCAUUACCUCACAAAGUUAGCUUGAUCAGAUUAUUGAAAGCACCUGUUAGCAGACUGCCAGGGGCGAUUUUUUAUAUAAUCAGCUACAUUUAGCAAGUGGCUGAGAGGUAUGCAAAUGACAAAUUGAAAAGAUGUUCUCAAGAAAAUUGUGCAGCAGCAUCUUCUUGACACAAGACAUAGAUUGACUGUUGGUGUUAGCAAAUACUCUCUGUGACAUCAAAGCUCGUCACCUAGACUGCAACUGUGAACCACACAAGCAGUGUCAUUGACAAAGCAUCCUGUCUUUCCAAAGGACAGUUAUAGUCUGAGGGUGGGCAAGAGAUGGGGAGGGGACAUCACCAGGGCGGCUGACCCAAACCAACAAAAAGGAUAUUCCAUACCACAUGGUGUAACACUCAGCAAUAAAAGGUGGGAAAGGGGAAGAGGGAGGGGUCUCUUGUUAUGAAGACGUCCGUCCUCCCAAACAACCGCUAUGCAUAUUGAGGCCCAGGCACUGCUUCCUGAGCCAAACAUGACUCAUUGAUGGGACAUAAUUUUUUAUUAUUUUUUUUCUCUGUGUACUUCUGCAAGGCCUUUGCUUUUUUCUUUCUUUUUUUUUUUUUUUUCCACUCUUCCUUUCCUUUUCCUUAUCCUUAUCCUUACCUCAACUCAUGACCUUUCUUUUUUUUUUUUUUCCAGCAUACUUUCUUCUUCUGCUACCUACUGAGGUAGCAGUUGCGGUGGAGUUCAGCUGCCCAGCAAGGUAAAACCACCACAGGGAGAUAAGCAAAGGAAUGAAUAUGAAGGAGCUGAAGCAAAGGAGCUGAAAAGGAAGAUGCCACCAGGAAGUCACAUCACCUGAAUAUUAUGGCAGAAAGGAGGACAUGUUCUGCUAUGUCCAUCAUCAUGUUGAUGUUGAAAGACGGGUGGUACCAGCAACAUCUACCCUUCUGGCAAAAGGAGGGUGUUCUGGAAAAAGAAUUACAUUCUGUAGUGAUCUUCGUUUUCUGCUAACACGAUGUGACUAAAGACAAGAGUAAAGGUGAGUUUUAUUCUCUUUCUUCUGGACAGAAAUCAGGGAAGUGUGAAGGUAGCAUUCAUAGGGAUGACUAUAUAUAAGUCAUAUUUAUAAAUUUAUAAAUAAGAAGAGGGCCUACCUAUUAGAGAGUGUGUCCCAUAGGAGGAAUGAAGUGAUGACAAAAAGCAGAUGGGAAUUCCUGAAAGCAGCAUCAGCAGGUCAGUAGGUAUUCUGACCUCAAGGAAAACAUUAUCCCCCCACUCUUUGUGGAAUACAACCUCAAGAGUAAACUUUUCUUGUGAAAACUGAGUCAUACCACACCACCAAUCUCCAUCACAGUGGGAAAUGUUUAGCUCUGCAUUUGUGAACUAGGUCCAACAGCAACGGUGUAAUUCUAUGUCUAAUAAUCCAUCCUUCACUCUGCCAACCUUCUGCCUAUCCUGGCCUUAAUUAUAUGAAAUAUUUCCAAUUUUUUUCUCUCUGAUCCAUAUUCUUCUCCCAGGGUCCCCUUUCCCAGUAACGCAGGCACAGUUAAUUAAGUCUUCAGUAGAAGUCAAGUAGAAGUCAUGAGCCUAUUUAACUGCUCUGG
rnacentral:lncRNA from 1 species